rnacentral:rRNA from 1 species
AGUUUGAUUAUGGCUCAGAUUGAACGCUGGCGGCGUGCCUAACACAUGCAAGUCGCGCGUGAAAGGACUUCGGUCCGAGUAAAGCGGCGCACGGGUGAGUAACGCGUGGAUGACUCUACCCAUGAGUUAGGAAUAACGGCUGGAAACGGUCGCUAAUACCAAAUACGCUCCGAUUUUCAACUUCGGGGGAAAGGUGGCCUCUGCUUGCAAGCUACUGCUCAUGGAUGAGUCCGCGUCCCAUUAGCUAGUUGGUGGGGUAACGGCCCACCAAGGCGACGGAUGGGUAGCCGGUCUGAGAGGAUGACCGGCCACACUGGGACUGGAACACGGCCCAGACUCCUACGGGAGGCAGCAGUGGGGAAUAUUGCGCAAUGGGCGAAAGCCUGACGCAGCGACGCCGCGUGAGGGGAAUGAAGGUCCUCGGAUCGUAAACCUCUGUCAGGAGGGUAAGAACCGCCACGGUGCUAAUCAGCCGUGGUCUGACGGUACCUCCAAAGGAAGCACCGGCUAACUCCGUGCCAGCCGCGGC